rnacentral:rRNA from 1 species
GACGAACGUUUGCGGCGUGCUUAACACAUGCAAGUCGAACGGAAAGGCCCUGCUUUUGUGGGGUGCUCGAGUGGCGAACGGGUGAGUAACACGUGAGUAACCUGCCCUUGACUUUGGGAUAACUUCAGGAAACUGGGGCUAAUACCGGAUAGGAGCUCCUGCUGCAUGGUGGGGGUUGGAAAGUUUCGGCGGUUGGGGAUGGACUCGCGGCUUAUCAGCUUGUUGGUGGGGUAGUGGCUUACCAAGGCUUUGACGGGUAGCCGGCCUGAGAGGGUGACCGGCCACAUUGGGACUGAGAUACGGCCCAGACUCCUACGGGAGGCAGCAGUGGGGAAUAUUGCACAAUGGGCGGAAGCCUGAUGCAACAACGCCGCGUGCGGGAUGACGGCCUUCGGGUUGUAAACCGCUUUCGCCUGUGACGAAGCGUGAGUGACGGUAAUGGGUAAAGAAGCACCGGCUAACUACGUGCCAGCAGCCGCGGUGAUACGUAGGGUGCGAGCGUUGUCCGGAUUUAUUGGGCGUAAGGGGCUCGUAGGUGGUUGAUCGCGUCGGAAGUGUAAUCUUGGGGCUUAACCCUGAGCGUGCUUUCGAUACGGGUUGACUUGAGGAAGGUAGGGGAGAAUGGAAUUCCUGGUGGAGCGGUGGAAUGCGCAGAUAUCAGGAGGAACACCAGUGGCGAAGGCGGUUCUCUGGGCCUUUCCUGACGCUGAGGAGCGAAAGCGUGGGGAGCGAACAGGCUUAGAUACCCUGGUAGUCCACGCUGUAAACGGUGGGUACUAGGUGUGGGGUCCAUUCCACGGGUUCCGUGCCGUAGCUAACGCUUUAAGUACCCCGCCUGGGGAGUACGGCCGCAAGGCUAAAACUCAAAGGAAUUGACGGGGCCCCGCACAAGCGGCGGAGCAUGCGGAUUAAUUCGAUGCAACGCGUAGAACCUUACCUGGGUUUGACAUGGAUCGGGAGUGCUCAGAGAUGGGUGUGCCUCUUUUGGGGUCGGUUCACAGGUGGUGCAUGGCUGUCGUCAGCUCGUGUCGUGAGAUGUUGGGUUAAGUCCCGCAACGAGCGCAACCCUUGUUCACUGUUGCCAGCACGUUAUGGUGGGGACUCAGUGGAGACCGCCGGGGUCAACUCGGAGGAAGGUGGGGAUGACGUCAAGUCAUCAUGCCCCUUAUGUCCAGGGCUUCACGCAUGCUACAAUGGCUGGUACAGAGAGUGGCGAGCCUGUGAGGGUGAGCGAAUCUCGGAAAGCCGGUCUCAGUUCGGAUUGGGGUCUGCAACUCGACCUCAUGAAGUCGGAGUCGCUAGUAAUCGCAGAUCAGCAACGCUGCGGUGAAUACGUUCCCGGGGCU